AGUCUUCAGAUCCUUGCUCUUUGCGGCAAGCAUGGCUCUGAGUGUGUACCAGGCGGGACAAAGCCCCAGGAGAGGCCGGAUGCAAAGUUGACCCAUUCUAUGAAGGCACAACAUUGCUUGCAUUCCAACUAACAGUAGUUCAUGUUAACUGCUGGGCCCUGAAGACCCCCUUGCCACCUGGAGGGGCCACGGGGAGAUGUCCUGGCUGACAGCCCCAGCGGAGGUCCCGGGGACAGCAGCACCAACCAUCAGACACGAGAGUGAGGGAGCUUGCGGAUGACUCCAGCCCCAGCUACCGUCUGACAACCACUGCAUGAGAGAUUCUGAGCAAGAACUGCACAGCUGAACUUCGAGAGAAAAUGCAGGGAAGCUUCCUGACAAGACCAGAAGAGGUUUACACAAUGCAGGUGAACCAGUGCAGAAGUCCAAGAUGGCAUCCUGCUCAUUACGCGGAGCUGUUUUGUGAUAUACACCAUCGCUCUGUGUGCCUGCUGGGUUGUACUAGCCAGUGAGACAAAAGAUGCUUUCUGGUUCUGUCCUUAUUGGUGGAGCGCUAGAUAUCUCGAUUAAUAAAUUGAGGAGCUUUGAAAAGAUUGCAUAUU